rnacentral:rRNA from 1 species
AUCCUGCCAGUAGUCANNGCUUAUGUCAAAGAUUAAGCCAUGCNUGUCUAAGUACAAAGACUAGUACUCUGAAACCGCGGAUGGCUCAUUAUAACAGCUAUAAUUUGAGAGAUUUAAUGCUUGCUACAGGAUAACUGUAGGUAAUUCUAGAGCUAAUAUUUGAAAAAUGCCGUGACUUGGGAAGCGGUNGAUUUAUUAGAUCAAAAUCNACCCACUUAACGGUNGUCUUUUGGUGACUCUGGAUAACUUAACUGAUCGUACAGCCUUAGUGCUGACGACAUAUCUCUUGAAAUGGCUGACCUAUCAACUUUCGAUGGUAAGAUCAAAGCUUACCAUGGUUAUAACGGGUAACGGGGAAUCAGGUUCGAUUCCGGANAGGGAGCCUGAGAAACGGCUNCCACAUCCACGGAAGGCAGCAGGCGCGUAAAUUACCCAAUACCGGCUCGGUGAGGUAGUGACAAUAAAUAACAAUAUGAGCCCUUUGGGUUUCGUAAUUGCAAUGAGAACAUCUUAAAUACUUUAUCAAGUAUCAAUUGGAGGGCAAGUAUUCCAGCUCCAAUAGCGUAUAUUAAAUUUGUUGCAGUUAAAAAGCUCGUAGUUGAAAUUGAGGAACUGAGUUGGCUUGAAAAUCUUUGAUUAAUAGCGUCCUCAUCCUUCAUAGCUGUGUAUAUGUUUGAUGCUCUUUAAUGGGUGUUGGAUGUAGCCGGCAAGUUUACUUUGAAAAAUUAGAGUGCUUAAAGCAGGCUUAUGCUUGUAUAUUGUUGCAUGGAAUAAUAGAAUAGGACUUUGGUUCUAUUUUGUUGGUUUUCGGAACUGAAGUAAUGAUUAAAAGAGACUGCCGGGGGCAUAUGUAUGCUGGUGUGAGAGGUGAAAUUCAUAGAUCAUCAGCAGACAAACUACUGCGAAAGCAUUUGCCAAGAAUGUUUUCAUUAAUCAAGAACGAAAGUCAGAGGAUCGAAGACGAUCAGAUACCGUCCUAGUUCUGACCAUAAACUAUGCCAACUGACAGUUAGCAAAGGUAAUUAACAUAUCCUUGCUAGAAGUCACCGGGAAACCAAAGUCNAUGGGNUCNGGCGAGACUCUAGCCUGCUAAAUAGUACAUUUGUGUUUAAUCGCAGAUCUGACUUCUUAGAGGGAUAAAUGGCGUUUAGCCGAAAGAAAUUGAGCAAUAACAGGUCUGUGAUGCCCUUAGAUGUCCGGGGCCGCACGCGCGCUACAAUGGCAGUAUCAACGAGUAUUUUUCCUGGCUAGAAAUGGCUGGGUAAUCUGUUGAAACACUGUCGUGUCAGGAAUAGUGGAUUGAAAUUUUUCCACUUGAACGAGGAAUUCCUAGUAAGCGCAAGUCA